GUACAGGGGCGGCGGCUCCAGCGGCGUGUUGUCACUCAGAAGGACGCGGGGAGAAUUGUAGCGUCUCUGCUGCCUCAAGAGAUCUAAAACUUGUUUUUUAAAAUGUCUGCCUGAAUGAGUUUAAUAAUAAGAGAAUUUAUCGAAUCUUCUGGGAAACUCCUUUGAUCCAUGUUGGAAGACUGGAUGCCACGAAGGUGAAAAUCUUUCUGCAAAAGAGAGGAGCUGACCUGCCUGAGGUGCACAGGAGGCCUGUGGUGUGACAGGGCUGGACUGGAAGAAGUCAAUGCAAGCAGAGGCCAGAGAAGCUUCUAGGUUUGGACCUGCUGGUUCCUGCAGCAGCACACUUCAUUGAGUAGUACCAAAAAUUAAUUUUGUUUUGUGUUGUGAUUUGCAGUUAGGUUCUUUGGUUUCCUAAAAAAUAAAAUUGCAGCCAAAGCUUCCGCAGCAGUUUGGAUGUUCUUAAAUUUUUAUUUGUGUGGAUUGCCUGAUACUGAUAGCUCCAGGAUUCUCUCCUGUGGAAACCCAGGGCACCGGGAAUAUUUAUCUGUCUGCUCUGAGGUGCCAUGACCCCCAGGGGAGCACUAACUUUGACCCUCAUUCAUGAGGAAAGUUUCCUAGACUUCAAGACAGACUAGAAUCCACAAAAGUGUGAAAUAGAUUAUAGAAAAGAUUAUAGUGUAGGUGUAUCACUUGGUGAGAAAUUUAGGUUUUGGGAUUUUCAAUAUGUUGCGGAUGGAAGCAAGAUGGAGGGCACAGGGUGUCAUUCUGGGUUUCUUCUUCAUGCUUCUUCCUUCUUCUUCAUGGGUUUGGGUGGCAUUUUGUAAUUGGGAAGAAAAGUCCACAUUGCGGGCUCUUUGGGAUCAGUUAUUGGGUUAAAAGGGAAAAUAAUCUGGGUGUCAGUUCUUAAUUAGAUAGCUUAGUUUUAAAAGACCUUGUAACAAGAGAUUGUUAGCCAUUUUGUGCCUUCUAAUGAAAAGCUGCCGAACUCACAGUGAUGAGACUGUUCUACUAAUA